AUUCUCGUUACACGAUAAUGAGCAAAGAGGGGCAACUGUAACAACCCAAAUUUGCCCGGGCCCAAAAGCACAAACAAAAAUAAACAUUAAAUUAGAUUAAAAUAAAAACAAAAAAAACAACAACAAUAAGCAAUUCAUUUUAAAUGUCCAUUAACAGACUUUAGGCCCAAUACAAACUAACCCAAUGUAUAGCCUAACACCAGCCAAAUUCUACCCUGACCCAAUACAACAGACCCAAACCCUAGCCCAACUCGAAGUGGCCCUUUUGCUUGAAACAUCCAGAAACCUUAGGGUUUCUGGAACAAUUUGCGUCGCAGUCAAGUUAGGCUCCUCUCGCUCGUGCACCACCACGCCUCCCAGCCACGUACGCAUCCG
rnacentral:lncRNA from 1 species